rnacentral:lncRNA from 10 species
CCAAAUCCCCCUCUGCGAGAAACACCCAAGAAUGAUCAAUUUAAAAAAAAAAAAAAAAAAAAAGAAGUUACAGGAAGGACGCACUUAAAAAAAAAAAAAGAAAGAAAGAAAGUCCCCAGGUAAUGCAAAUUUUCAGCCAGGGUUGGGAAUCAAUGAUUUGUACUUGACUUUCACGUUAUUAUGGAGCCAUCAGCUAUCUAUCCACUUGGUCCAGGAAUAAACUCCCCUUCACCUACUUUCCUUCCUUAUUUUUUUCACCCACAGUGGGUCUUUGGGAAGAGAUGUGUAAAGGAGAUGAGUCCUAGAAUUUGAGAGACUGAAGACGGACCUUGGGAAGAUAAUCCACCCCCCUCUGAAGUUUCACUUCCUAGGGGGCACCCACAGAGGAAGAGGGAAGCUCUCCUCCUCCUUCUAACAGCAACACAGCUGCAGGGAUGCAACAACUAAGCCCCUGCUUCCUGUUUCCUCUUUUAGACAUCUUGCCUGCCUCACCCUUGUCCUGGCCCUGCCUCUUCCUCUUCCUAACAUUCAAAUCUGACUCUAGUGUUGACUUUAUUCAGUCAUCCAUGUGUGAGACCCAACCUUUGCUAACAGGUGGCAACCUCUUUCAUGAAAUAUAAGGUGCCAUCAUUUGUAAAAUGCACCAUCAUGCUAUGUAUCACUAAGAAAGAAAUGCGUGUUGUCAAAUAAACUGUGAG